CAGUCGCCACGGUAAUACAGAGGGUGCGAGCGUUAAUCGGAUUUACUGGGCGUAAAGCGUGCGUAGGCGGCUAAUUGAGUCGGAUGUGAAAUCCCCGAGCUUAACUUGGGAAUUGCAUUCGAUACUGGUUAGCUAGAGUGUGGGAGAGGAUGGUAGAAUUCCAGGUGUAGCGGUGAAAUGCGUAGAGAUCUGGAGGAAUACCGAUGGCGAAGGCAGCCAUCUGGCCUAACACUGACGCUGAGGUACGAAAGCAUGGGGAGCAAACAGGAUUAGAGACCCCUGUAGUCCCUGUCUCUUAUAC
rnacentral:rRNA from 1 species